rnacentral:lncRNA from 1 species
CCUCAGACCUCACAGAAACAACAUCAGAAGCAGCAGCAGCAGCCUUGUUGCUGCUUUGAUCAAGCCCAUCAGCCUUCUUUGGCUCACCAUUCUUGUACGGCACCAACUAAAACCCUUCAGCGUCGACCAUCGGAGCAGCUUUCUCGACCUUCGGAGAAGCUUUCUUAACGACUGGUCCUCGGGAGUUGCUCCUCCUUCCACCACCAUUGUUGUACAUCCCAUUACGAUUGCCGU